GGAAUAUUGGACAAUGGGGGAAACCCUGAUCCAGCAAUCCCGCGUGAGUGAUGAAGGCCCUCGGGUCGUAAAGCUCUUUCAGCAGGGAAGAAGGGAAACUUGGCGGUACCCGAAGAAGAAGCACCGGCUAACUCCGUGCCAGCAGCCGCGGGAAUACGGCGGGUGCAAGCGUUGUUCGGAAGCAUUGGGCGUAAAGCGGGUGUAGGCGGCUAGGUAAGUCUGGUGUGAAAGCCCGGGGCUUAACCCCGGAAGGGCACUGGAUACUGCUGGGCUAGAGGACGAGAGAGGGAAGUGGAAUUCCUGGUGUAGGGGUGAAAUCCGUAGAUAUCAGGAGGAACAUCAGAGGCGAAGGCGACUUCCUGGCUCGUAUCUGACGCUGAGACGCGAAAGCGUGGGGAGCAAAC
rnacentral:rRNA from 1 species